CUCAGGAUGAACGCUGGCGGCGUGCCUAAUACAUGCAAGUCGAGCGAAUGGAUUAAGAGCUUGCUCUUAUGAAGUUAGCGGCGGACGGGUGAGUAACACGUGGGUAACCUGCCCAUAAGACUGGGAUAACUCCGGGAAACCGGGGCUAAUACCGGAUAACAUUUUGAACUGCAUGGUUCGAAAUUGAAAGGCGGCUUCGGCUGUCACUUAUGGAUGGACCCGCGUCGCAUUAGCUAGUUGGUGAGGUAACGGCUCACCAAGGCAACGAUGCGUAGCCGACCUGAGAGGGUGAUCGGCCACACUGGGACUGAGACACGGCCCAGACUCCUACGGGAGGCAGCAGUAGGGAAUCUUCCGCAAUGGACGAAAGUCUGACGGAGCAACGCCGCGUGAGUGAUGAAGGCUUUCGGGUCGUAAAACUCUGUUGUUAGGGAAGAACAAGUGCUAGUUGAAUAAGCUGGCACCU
rnacentral:rRNA from 1 species